rfam:Schistosoma haematobium scaffold286_5, whole genome shotgun sequence.
ACCUAGCUGACGAGUCUCAAAUAGGACGAGACGCUCUUUCUGGAU